GACGAACGCUGGCGGCGUGCCUAAUACAUGCAAGUUGAGCGCUGAAGGUUGGUACUUGUACCAACUGGAUGAGCAGCGAACGGGUGAGUAACGCGUGGGGAAUCUGCCUUUGAGCGGGGGACAGCAUUUGGAAACGAAUGCUAAUACCGCAUAAUAACUUUAAACACAAGUUUUAAGUUUGAAAGAUGCAAUUGCAUCACUCAAAGAUGAUCCCGCGUUGUAUUAGCUAGUUGGUGAGGUAAAGGCUCACCAAGGCGAUGAUACAUAGCCGACCUGAGAGGGGGGUCGGCCACAAUGGGACUGGGACACGGCCCAAAAUCCUACGGGAGGCAGCAGUAGGGGAUCUUCGGCAAAGGACGAAAGGCUGACCGAGCAACGCCGCGGGAGGGGAGAAGGUUUUCGGAUCGGAAAACUCUGUUGGUAGAGAAGAACGUUGGUGAGAGUGGAAAGCUCAUCAAGUGACGGUAACUACCCAGAAAGGGACGGCUAACUACGUG
rnacentral:rRNA from 1 species